UCGAGCAGGAGACUCCCAUGGAGCGAAGAACCCUAACUUCAUCAUUUUCAUCAAAUUGAAAGGCUAAAUGAUGCUUAAAUCCAUGAAUAAACACGGAUUAAUGAUCACCUUCACAAGAGGAUCGUAAGUUGAUGCUUGAUAACCGACAUGGAAGCUUGGGAAAGAAGCGGGUCAAAUGGAACUUAUGUGCACGGGAAGCGUACUCGGAUGCCAGGUUGAUCGGGUCACGGAGGAUCAUCAAGGAAUAGAGAUCGAGAACCGAGUCACAACAUAGAUUGUACGGGAACGUCGAUGUAUGUAAUAUAGUAAACAGAAGCCAUGUUUUUACUUAGUAAAUGAGUCGAUUGAUAAUUUUAUGUGAAAGAGUUAUGUUACAAUGAAAUUUUAAAGUAAG